GUUGACAUGCGAUGAGAGCUUGUGAAGGGGGACAGUACACACCGGUUAGAGGUUUACAAUGCAUGCUUUGGUCCUUAGAGGCUUUUAUUCUUUUUUUUAAUGCAGCUGCAAACAGAAUAAAAGCUGCUUUGAUUUAACCUCUUCAGUUUUUUUCUGGUUGACAUCACAGUGAACAUUCAGUGAGAGGACUUUACAGAGCUGCUGGUUGUCAGAGAACACAGCUUCAGGUUUGACAGGAUGAAAGGGCCGUAGGUCCAAACUCACUUACAACUGUUGGUGCUCCAAAAUUGAGGUCAUGUUGUUUUUUAUUUGCUUCGCUGAGCAGAUGACAUGAUGUCUAAUUCUUGCAACUGUACAUCUGUC